AUCCUUUUGGGGUUGAUAGGUGUGAUGAUUGGGUUUCUAUGCAUGUGUGUGACAUGUGUCUCCCUCAAAGCUUGUUACCACAUCCGUACAGCACCCAUAGGAUG
rfam:Pan troglodytes isolate Yerkes chimp pedigree #C0471 (Clint) chromosome 4, whole genome shotgun sequence.